UUAUUUGAAAAAUAAGUAAAAGAAAGAUACAGAAAUAAUUUGCCAUUAUUAAAAGAGAAAGAAAAACUUUAAAUUGUUGAUUUUUUUUAUUUGUUUAAAAAAUGUCAUGUUUGUGUAUGAGUGCGCCUGCAGGGGCAUUUGAUUCCUAGUUUGGAAUGUUUCUAGGGUUCUACCCUUUGACACAAGAUGGACCAUACUGUUCCGAGAGAGAAAGACGUUGAAUUUGACCUUGAAAGUGGUGGGAACACUAGCGAAGAGGAUGUAGGAAAGGAUCGUUAUGUUAGUGAUAAAGAAUCAAAGGGUGCUUUGAUUUGGGCGGGGAAUGGGAUUCCGAAUAUUGAUGGAACAGAUAAGGGUAAAACUGAGAUUGAGUCAUUUAGAAAUUCUGCAAAAUCUGGAGAUGUUAUGAUUAUAGAUGAAAAUAGUUUAGAAGUGUUUAUGGAUAGGGCUUUUGUUCAACAGCAAUGGUCUAAUGUACAUGGUAACCAUCACAAACAAAAGAUUAAGCCCUUUCACCCCAAAAAGCCUCCAAAGCCACCCCUUCCUCCCACAGGUCCUUCACUAGAUGCUGGUGAUCAGAAGUUUGUCAAGGAACUUGCUGAGCUUGCCUUGAGAAAGCGCGCAAGGGUUAAGAAAAUGAAAGCAGUGAGAAAGAUGAAAGCAAACAAGUCAUCAUCAUCAUCAACUUAUACCAAUCUUUCUGCCAUGGUCAUCACUGUUUUCUUCUUCCUUGUCAUAAUACUCCAUGGAAUCAGAUCUGUGAGUAGUGCUACUGUUGGGGUAAUUGAUUCCCCUGAGGCUAAAUUUGCGGCAGAUGAAAGCUUGAUUUCUGUUCGCUUUCCCACGAGCUUCAAUUCGAAUGAAGUAAACGUACCUGCCUUUCAUUCAUCAAUUUGAUAGUUCUCCUACUGUCUUAUAUUGCAGCAGUUCUGCAAGAAAGAUGAUAUGCAAAUUUUGAAGGUUCCUUUCCCUUUCAAUGUGAGAACAUAGAUUAUUCUUAAAUGGUCGCCCUCACCCAUUAGAUUUCUACUUCCCUAAAGUGAGAGAUUACCUUGACGAAGGAAUAGAAUGAAUUAUUAAUAGUUGUUGAUAAAGAAAUAACUGUCCAAGUUAUAACAAAUGCAUCUUUUCUUAUCCAUGCUUUUA